AUGCAAGUCGAACGGUAACAGGAGAAGCUUGCUUCUUGCUGACGAGUGGCGCACGGGUGAGUAAUGCAUAGGUAACGUGCCCCUUAGUCUAGGAUAGCCACUGGAAACGGUGAUUAAUACUGGAUACUCCUUCUUCCUUAAUGGAAGUUGGGAAAGUUUUUCGCUAAGGGAUCGGCCUAUGUUGUAUCAGGUAGUUGGUGAGGUAAUGGCUCACCAAGCCUAUGACACAUAGCGGGUCUGAGAGGAUGAUCCGCCACACUGGUACUGAGACACGGACCAGACUCCUACGGGAGGCAGCAGUGGGGAAUAUUGCACAAUGGACGAAAGUCUGAUGCAGCAACGCCGCGUGGAGGAUGACACAUUUCGGUGCGUAAACUCCUUUUAUAUGAGAAGAUAAUGACGGUAUCAUAUGAAUAAGCACCGGCUAACUCCGUGCCAGCAGCCGCGGUAAUACGGAGGGUGCAAGCGUUAUUCGGAAUCACUGGGCGUAAAGGGUGCGUAGGCGGUUUGAUAAGUCUGAUGUGAAAUCCUAUGGCUCAACCAUAGAACUGCAUUGGAAACUGUCAAACUAGAAUACUGAAGGGGCAGAUGGAAUUAGUGGUGUAGGGGUAAAAUCCGUAGAUAUCACUAGGAAUACCGAAAGCGAAAGCGAUCUGCUGGGAAGUUAUUGACGCUGAGGCACGAAAGCGUGGGGAGCAAACGGGAUUAGAUACCCCGGUAGUCCACGCCCUAAACGAUGAAUGCUAGUCGUCGGAAAGCUCGUCUUUUCGGUGAUGCAGUUAACACAUUAAGCAUUCCGCCUGGGGAGUACGGUCGCAAGAUUAAAAACUCAAAGGAAUAGACGGGGACCCCGCACAAGUGGUGGAGCAUG
rnacentral:rRNA from 1 species